rnacentral:rRNA from 1 species
GACGAACGCUGGCGGCGUGCUUAACACAUGCAAGUCGUACGGUAAGGCCCUUUCGGGGGUACACGAGUGGCGAACGGGGGCGUAACACGAGCGUAACCUUCCCACAACUUUGGGAUAACGCUAGGAAACUGGAGCUAAUACUGGUAAUGUGCUACUGCUGCAUGGGGGGGGUUGGAAAGUUCCGGCGGUUGUGGAUGGAUUCGCGGCCUAUCUGCUUGCUGGUGGGGUAAUGGCCUACCAAGGCGGCGACGGGUGGCCGGCCUGUGGGGGUGACCGGCCACCUUGGGACUGAGGUACGGCCCAGACACCUACGGGAGGCAGCAGUGGGGAAUAUUGCACGAGGGGCGCAAGCCUGAUGCAGCAGCGCCGCGUGCGGGAUGACGGCCUUCGGGGUGAAAACCGCUUUCAGCAGGGACGAAGCUUUUUGUGACGGUACCUGCAGAAGAAGCACCGGCUAACUACGUG